AGAGUGAACGCUGGCGGUAGGCCUAACACAUGCAAGUCGAACGGCAGCACGGUAAGAGCUUGCUCUUAUGGGUGGCGAGUGGCGGACGGGUGAGGAAUACAUCGGAAUCUACCUUUUGGUGGGGGAUAAUGUAGGGAAACUUACGCUAAUACCGCAUACGCCCUUCGGGGAAAGCCGGGGACCAGCAAUGGCCUGGAGCUGAUAGAUGAGCCGAUGUCGGAUUAGCUAGUUGGUGAGGUAAUGGCUCACCAAGGCGACGAUCCGUAGCUGGUCUGAGAGGAUGAUCAGCCACACUGGAACUGAGACACGGUCCAGACUCCUACGGGAGCAGCAGUGGGAAUAUUGGACAAUGGGCGCAAGCCUGAUCCAGCCAUACCGCGUGGUGAAGAAGGCCUUCGGGUUGUAAAGCCCUUUUAGGUUGGGAAAAGUAAAAGCAAUACGGUUAAUACCCGGUUGUUCUGACGUACCCAAAGAAUAAGCACCGGCUAACUUCGUGCCAGCAGCCGUA
rnacentral:rRNA from 1 species